UAUAAAAGGCUUUCAAAUGGGUCAUUUAAACGGAAGAUUAUUCCAUGGAAUAAUGUAUGUUAUUGUAAAGAAACCUCAGUUAAAAGCUCAGUGUAGAGAGCUACCUGGUCAGCCCUCUCCCCCUUGAAGUUCCACUGCCACUGCUUGGAUAGCCUCGUAAUUGCGAUUGUUUUUGUUCGAAUGGCGGGGCAUUGGCUGCAGAAAGGCGACCGCUGCAGUUGCCGGAGCAGCUCAGGCAACCACCCGCGUCCACAGCAAGAGCAGAGUGGAGUUCACCUCUUCACCUGGUUGUGGGAGUACCCCCACUACCACCUCCAGUGGCCUGCAUUGAUAUCACCCAUUGUGCCGGUGGCAGGGCUGUUAUUAUGCAAAUGCCAUUCACAGUUCGCAGCUCCCAUCCAUCUGGGCUGCCAUCUUUUUGCGACCGAAAAAGAAAACGAACGAAGGGAAAACGUUGGAAAAUCGAAGCCGCCAACAAGAUGUUGUUUGCCACUAAUUGCAGUAGCUGCUCAGUUGCAGUUCCCUUUUGCAAAUGCAAAUGCAAAAAAUUCAACUUGGCUAUUUCGAAACUCUGUUUAAAUCGCAGACACAAAUUGUUACAAUACUUUGACGUUGCAAAUACUAUGAUGAGAUCUUCCCAGGAAAAGUUAUGUUUUUCCUUGUAUCUAUUACAAUUUAGUUACUUUUUAGGUUAACUUGUGGUUUCAGUUUUAAAUUAUUAAUAUGUUUUUCACUUUAUAAUAGAAUCACUUUUAAUAUUGAUUGUUCAAGCCUAGUUUGCUCGCUGAACCUUUGUGUGGGUAUUGAUUUAAGCCUAAAUUUUUAUAUAUCAUUUUGAUUAGUUAUAAAUCCAACAUUUAAAAUAUAUUUAAUUUUAAUUGAAUUGAAUGUUUUAAGAGAUAUUUAAUUGCACAAUGCAAGACAGGGGGCUUACUUUAAAUUCGGCUAACUUGAACAAGUUUUAAAGAAGGCAUUUGACUUGCAAAUAUGCGUAGUUUUUAGAUAUAGAUAAAAUUUUACAAUAAGUACUAUACACUACCUAUGGUUUAGAAUAAAUUAAUUAUAAACAUUAUAGAUUAUACUAAAGAAGAAUUAAGGGAAUCAACAUUUGAUAUAAGCAUAAUAAUGUCUAUUCAAUUUUAUUUGUUAUACCCUUGCAGGGUAUUAUAAUUUCAG